GCAUCCGUAGCUCAGCUGGAUAGAGUACUCGGCGGAUAGAGUACUCGGCUACGAACCGAGCGGUCGGAGGUUCGAAUCCUCCCGGAUGCACCA
rnacentral:tRNA from 1 species